rnacentral:rRNA from 1 species
CUUCGGGAAACCGGAGCUAAUACCGGAUAGUAUAUUGAACCGCAUGGUUCAAUAGUGAAAGACGGUUUUGCUGUCACUUAUAGAUGGAUCCGCGCCGCAUUAGCUAGUUGGUAAGGUAACGGCUUACCAAGGCAACGAUGCGUAGCCGACCUGAGAGGGUGAUCGGCCACACUGGAACUGAGACACGGUCCAG